UGCAAGUCGAACGGUGAAGCCCAGCUUGCUGGGUGGAUCAGUGGCGAACGGGUGAGUAACACGUGAGCAACCUGCCCCUGACUCUGGGAUAAGCGCUGGAAACGGCGUCUAAUACUGGAUACGAACCACGAAGGCAUGUUCAGUGGUUGGAAAGAUUUAUUGGUUGGGGAUGGGCUCGCGGCCUAUCAGCUUGUUGGUGAGGUAAUGGCUCACCAAGGCGUCGACGGGUAGCCGGCCUGAGAGGGUGACCGGCCACACUGGGACUGAGACACGGCCCAGACUCCUACGGGAGGCAGCAGUGGGGAAUAUUGCACAAUGGGCGCAAGCCUGAUGCAGCAACGCCGCGUGAGGGAUGACGGCCUUCGGGUUGUAAACCUCUUUUAGCA
rnacentral:rRNA from 1 species